CUAACCCACGGCGUCACCCAAAGAACAGGUGAGGCACACAGUGUCACCUCAAAGAACAGCAGGUGUGCUCAGGUGCCAUGACACCAGAGUCUACUCGUGUGGUGCCUCCCUAACAGCCAAUCACCGGACACGUGAAUAUCCCCAAUCACCCUAACAGCCAAUCACCAGACACGCGAUAUGAUGUCGGCACAAGGGGGCACUGGACAGCCACCGACAUGGAGGAGGUGUCCUUGACCCAGAUGCCCUCGACACCGAACAAGUGGGGUUUCCAGGUGGAGCUAAGACAGUGACAGGAGCCCCGGACUCCACGCAUGCUGAUUUGCCUAAUUACUGG